AUGGUUUUCAAAGACGAAAGCAGUGAGGACACGUCCAGCCUGCUGUACAUGCACUCGACCUCAUCCACGGACGGGCUUAACCAGGUCCCUUUCAGCGUUGAAGAUCCAGAUUACCAGGGGCUUGAGCUGGAAACGAUGUCGCCAUGUGAGAAGCACGGCAAGGCAUCUGAGAGGCUUGUCGCAUUUGAAGGAACAGACACAGGGAGAAGGUUCCUAGAACGGCAGAAUUGUGGGUUUGUUGAAUGGGUUGAUCACCAGUGGCCCACAACAAUGCAAAAUGCAUUGUUGAAGCUGUGGGCCAUGGUUGAAGAUAGCAAGAGUGCUAGGGUGAAUGAUAAUCUUGAAAGUUCUUUCACUAUCCACCAUCUGACAGAAGAGAAGAACAAGCUGAAGGCCAACUAUGACAAGUUAGUCCAAGAUGUGCAUCAACUUAUGAGCUUCCAGGAGGACAGGGUGGUGGAUUUCAGAUAUCUGCAGGAUAACCUUACAUAUCAGCAGCAAUGCAGAAGUGAACCGGUGGCUGAUAUGAAGGCAUAG
rnacentral:rRNA from 1 species